UACGUAGGGUGCAAGCGUUGUCCGGAAUCACUGGGCGUAAAGGGCGCGUAGGCGGCAUGCCAAGCGUGUGGUGAAAGCCCGGGGCUCAACCCCGGGUCGGCCGUGCGGACUGGCGUGCUCGAGCACUGUAGGGGCGGGUGGAAUUCCGGGUGUAGCGGUGGAAUGCGUAGAGAUCCGGAAGAACACCGGUGGCGAAGGCAGCUCGCUGGGACGGUACUGACGCUGAGGCGCGAAAGCGUGGGGAGCAAACAGG
rnacentral:rRNA from 1 species